CAGUCGAACGAAGCACUCUAUUUGAUUUUCUUCGGAAAUGAAGAUUUUGUGACUGAGUGGCGGACGGGUGAGUAACGCGUGGGUAACCUGCCUCAUACAGGGGGAUAACAGUUGGAAACGACUGCUAAUACCGCAUAAGCGCACAGGAUCGCAUGAUCCGGUGUGAAAAACUCCGGUGGUAUGAGAUGGACCCGCGUCUGAUUAGCCAGUUGGCAGGGUAACGGCCUACCAAAGCGACGAUCAGUAGCCGACCUGAGAGGGUGACCGGCCACAUUGGGACUGAGACACGGCCCAAACUCCUACGGGAGGCAGCAGUGGGGAAUAUUGCACAAUGGGGGAAACCCUGAUGCAGCGACGCCGCGUGAGCGAAGAAGUAUUUCGGUAUGUAAAGCUCUAUCAGCAGGGAAGAAGAAUGACGGUACCUGACUAAGAAGCACCGGCUAAAUACGUGCCAGCAGCCGCGGUAAUACGUAUGGUGCAAGCGUUAUCCGGAUUUACUGGGUGUAAAGGGAGCGCAGGCGGUGCGGCAAGUCUGAUGUGAAAGCCCGGGGCUCAACCCCGGUACUGCAUUGGAAACUGUCGUACUAGAGUGUCGGAGGGGUAAGUGGAAUUCCUAGUGUAGCGGUGAAAUGCGUAGAUAUUAGGAGGAACACCAGUGGCGAAGGCGGCUUACUGGACGAUAACUGACGCUGAGGCUCGAAAGCGUGGGGAGCAAACAGGAUUAGAUACCCUGGUAGUCCACGCCGUANACGAUGAAUACUAG
rnacentral:rRNA from 1 species